GAGAUUUUAUCCUGGCUCAGAACGAACGCUGGCGGCAGGCUUAACACAUGCAAGUCGAGCGCCCCGCAAGGGGAGCGGCAGACGGGUGAGUAACGCGUGGGAACGUACCCUUUACUACGGAACAACUCCGGGAAACUGGAGCUAAUACCGUAUGUGCCCUUUGGGGGAAAGAUUUAUCGGUAAAGGAUCGGCCCGCGUUGGAUUAGCUAGUUGGUGGGGUAAAGGCCUACCAAGGCGACGAUCCAUAGCUGGUCUGAGAGGAUGAUCAGCCACAUUGGGACUGAGACACGGCCCAAACUCCUACGGGAGGCAGCAGUGGGGAAUAUUGGACAAUGGGCGCAAGCCUGAUCCAGCCAUGCCGCGUGAAUGAUGAAGGCCUUAGGGUUGUAAAGUUCUUUCACCGGAGAAGAUAAUGACGGUAUCCGGAGAAGAAGCCCCGGCUAACUUCGUGCCAGCAGCC
rnacentral:rRNA from 1 species